rnacentral:rRNA from 1 species
ACGUAAUAGAUACCCGGGUAGUCCACGCCCUAAACGAUGUCUACUAGUUGUUGGUGGAGUAAAAUCCAUGAGUAAACGCAGCUAAACGCGUGAAGUAGACCGCCUGGGGAGUACGGUCGCAAGAUUAAAACUCAAAUGAAUUGACGGGGGCCCGCACAAGCGGUGGAUUAUGUGGAUUAAAUUCGAUGCAACGCGAAAAACCUUACCUGGCCUUGACAUGUAGCGAACUUUCCAGAGAUGGAUUGGUGCCCGAAAGGGAGCGCUAACACAGGUGCUGCAUGGCUGUCGUCAGCUCGUGUCGUGAGAUGUUGGGUUAAGUCCCGCAACGAGCGCAACCCUUGCCAUUAAUUGCCAUCAUUUAGUUGGGCACUUUAAUGGGACUGCCGGUGACAAACCGGAGGAAGGUGGGGAUGACGUCAAGUCCUCAUGGCCCUUAUGGCCAGGGCUUCACACGUAAUACAAUGGUCGGUACAGAGAGUUGCCAACCCGCGAGGGGAGCCAAUCUCAGAAAGCCGAUCGUAGUCCGGAUUGUAGCCUGC